rnacentral:rRNA from 1 species
ACAAGCGGUGGAGUAUGUGGUUAAUUCGACGCAACGCGCAGAACCUUACCUAGACUUGACAUCCCGGGGAUUUUCUGGAAACAGAGAAGUGCUUUAGCAAUAAAGAACCCGGUGACAGGUGCUGCAUGGGCUGUCGUCAGCUCGUGUCGUGAGAUGUUGGGUUAAGUCCCGCAACGAGCGCAACCCUCGCCUUUAGUUGCCAGCAUUCAGUUGGGCACUCUAGAGGGACUGCCGGUGUCAAACCGGAGGAAGGUGGGAUGACGUCAAGUCCUCAUGGCCUUUAUGUCUAGGGCUACACACGUACUACAAUGGCCGGUACAAAGGGCAGCCACUCAGCGAUGAGGCGCUAAUCCCAUAAAGCCGGUCUCAGUCCGGAUCGCAGUCUGCAACUCGACUGCGUGAAGUUGGAAUCGCUAGUAAUCGUAGAUCAGCAUGCUACGGUGAAUACGUUCCCGGGCCUU